rnacentral:rRNA from 1 species
GACGAACGCUAGCGGCGUGCUUAACACAUGCAAGUCGAACGAAGAGGCGAACGGGUGAGUAAUACGUGGGUAAACUGCCCUCCUAUUUGGGAUAAGCCUUGGAAACGGGGUCUAAUACCGACUAAUGGGGGAUGGGCUCGCGGCCUAGCAGCUUGUUGGUGGGGUGAUGGCCCACCAAGGCGGUGACGGGUGGCCGGCCGGAGAGGGUGACCGGCCACAUUACAACUCUGAUACGGCCCAGACUCCGAGGGGUGGGGGAGUUGGGGGAUUUGGCACAAUGCGCGUCAACCUGAGGCGGGUGCGUCGUGUAGGGCUUGAAGGCUUUAAGGUUGUAAGCCUCUGUAGCAAUCGAACGGGUAUCUGGAGAAGAAGCGCCGGCUAACUACGUGCCAGCAGCCGCGGUAAUUC